CACUUGCAUUCCAAAAGUGUAUCGCAAAUCGGACUACCCCUCAGUGACUGAGGUAACUCGUACUGUCAAAUUUGCUAUUUGAUUAGAAAAUGCAUGAAACUAGCAACACUUAUGAAUCUGUUAUUAUUUUUUCCAAAUAGCCCAUAGUUACCGUAGCAACCUCUGGGUACGCAAAGGAAAAUAAUGAGUAUAAAAACAAACCGAAAAUUUUACCAAAGAAGCAAUAAAUUUGAUUGACUUAAUCGAAGCAAACAAAUAAUCAUGUACCUGAUGCAGCACGACGAAAUCAAUCUGUUAGAUCCGAUGCAUGUUAUCGUCCUCGUUAUGUCGAUAAUCAAAAGUUCCAUGUAACAAGCAGUGAAAUAGCUGAAUAUGGUCGAAUGAUCCAAAAACGGUGAAGUGACCGAGCAAUCAUUUGCGCAAAAUCGACCAGCUAGAGAAACCUUUCCUGAAGUGAAUCUACAAAGUGAAAUAUCAUGCGACGAUAGCUGGGGAAUGGCGAUGUGCCCAAGGAAAGAAGUCUGUUCUUUACGGCCAAGGUUUAUUCGACAGUUACCCGCUGCUUCGUGAGUUGGAUAAACAAACUGGCAAUCAAGAUACAAAAUCAUCGUCCGAUACAUUGAAUUGUACAAUAGAAAAAUCUUAAUCCAUUGCAGACCGAACAUGCGAAAUCGUUUUCGCAUCAGCUAUCCCUGUAUGUGGGGCUCUAUUCUCACAGCCACGUCACCUAGUGAUGAGGGAAAUAUCCUUCUAGUCACUAGGUGACGUGACUCUGAGAAUAGGGCCCGUGAUGGUCCAGUACGUCUACGUGCACCUAAAUGAAACAUUCCUGCCGACGUCGUAUACCAUUUUGCACCAGAGAAAUGUCACAAAUAAAAAA